CAGCCCGCCGCGGUAAUUGCAGCUCCAAUGGGGNNUUAUAUUAAAGUUGUUGCAGUUAAAAAGCUCGUAGUUGAAUUUCGGGAUCAAUAUUUCGGUCAUGCCGUUGGUAUGCACUGUUAUCAUUGAUUUCUCACCUUCUAAAGAACCGUAAUGCCAUUAAUUUGGUGUUACGGGGAAUUAGGACGUAGU
rnacentral:rRNA from 1 species